rnacentral:lncRNA from 1 species
CCAUUCGCUUCCCCAGGAAGGGGUGUGAGCCUGCGCGCCCGGCCGCGGUGGUGGGCGGGAGGAUGGUGGGCGGGCUCCGAGCCCAGCUCCACUGGCCCCGGCCGCGGGGCUCGCCCCUCCGUCCCCAAACGACCGUCUCCGCUGCCAUGAGAUGCCGACAGCCUGUGCGCUGGCCGCCACCCCCUGCUCCAUCAGGUGCUGGAAUCUGAGUAAAAGCCUGGGCGCGAGCUCCCAGCCCCGGGGCCUGCCACCGGCUCCACGAAGCGGGCAGCUCCAGCGGCCGCCGGGAGAAGGAAGGGCGACCGGGGGAGACGGGUCGCAGGGACAGCACGUGGCGGAAAGUUAGCCCCGGACUAGCACGCCCCACCCGGAGAAGCCGGCCUGGAAGGGGCUGCGGACCACCAGGCGGAGCGGUGGGCGACCGAAGUGCGGCUGGGCUGGCCUCCUCGUCUCCGCACUGGAAGAAUUGCCCUUCCGCAAGUCUUCCCUUCCCACAUGGGGGCCCUCCAGGCCGCACCUCGGUCGCCCACCGCUUCCCUUGAGAAGGGAGACUAAAGACAGGCAUCUGGAAGCUGUCACUGUGGCGCGCGGGCAGACAGGGGAUCCCAUUGGAGAGGAAGAGCCGUAGUAGUCGCUGCUGCCUUCGGCCGACCCAACGGCCGCCUGCUUGGGAGGAAGAAAAAGAACGCCCCCGCUGAAGAAUUAAGGCAGCCAUUGGUUGCUCUAGGGGUAAGGACCGAGGCCUCCCCUGGGUGUCACUGGAGCAGCCACACGUGGGGGAUCAGCCGACUUCAUUCGAUCGCUGGCGACAGACCCGGCGACCCGUAGGAAUGCGCGCUGGGGCUGCGGCUGGAGGGCGUGGCGACGGCAACAGGCGGGUGGCUCGAGUGGGUGCGACUCUGGGCGCGUGGGACUGAGAACUCCUCCGCCGUGGGGAAGAUUUUUUUCCCAGCAGAUGUUGGGGUGUUACUGCGUGUCUGAGGGGCCGGCGGAAUGGAGGGGUCCCGGUGCGUGCAGGGCAGCGAGGUGUGUCAGAUGAGCUGUGGAUCCCUGCGGCCCCACGUGGGCCGGAGAGGGGGGCCCACGACAACAAGCGAUUGAGGACAGCGAUGGACAGGGCGGGGAACCAGCUGGGUGGAAGCACAGGGAGUGUGGUGAGGAGGGAAGGGCUGUGAUCUGCCCUCGGUACGACGCCCCAAGGGACAGCCUGGCCUCCUGAAUUAGGGAAAAGACAACCGGUCUCUUUAGACGGGCGCCUCAGAGUCUGACCUGAGUCUUCAAACGCCCAGAUCCCCUGGGGCCUUGAGUCUCCCUGUCCCGCUGGCCCUGCCUCGCCUGCGCUUCAGGACUCCGACGCCCCCGCAGCCUUGGGCUAAGGGUCAGUCGUCCCCGGGCGCGGGUCCGGCUGCCCUGGAACUGAUGCUGGAUUUCGCUGGGUUACAAGAUGGGCAGUACAAUAGAGGAUGGACUGGAGUUGGAAAAGACUAAAGCAGCAAGUUUGAUAAGGAGGCUACAGCAAUAGUCCAGGUGAAAGACGCAAGAGCCCAAAAUGCAGCAGUGGCCAAGGGAAUGGAUCUGAGAUAAAGUUCAGAAGAUAGAGUUGGCAGGGCAGGUGAGGAGAAGAGAAGAAGGCCACAUGAAGAUGGAGCAAGAGAUUGGAGUGAUGUGGCCACAAGCCAAGGAAGCUGAGGAAUGAAGACAGCUAUCAGAAGCUGGAAGAGGAAAAGAAUUCUCUCUUGGGGUCUGCAGAGGGAGAACAGCCCUGCCAACACUUCCAUUUCCAAUGUCUGGACUCUAGAACUGUGAGAAAAUAAAUUCCCAUUAUUUUAAGGAACACAGUUUGUGAUACUGCAUUACAGCAGCUCCAUGAAACAAAUACAUUUUGUUAUUCCAAGUCCUCUUCACAACAAAGUCUUUGCUAGUGGUGAACCAAACACAGUCCCACCAUCAUGAGCCACUGUUCUGGAUGAGGGGGCAACACAGUUCAGACACUGGUCAUCUCUAUUUAAUGUCUAAUGGGCAUCUCAAACCUAACUUUCUCCCAGUGGAAAUGCCUGGAGGUACGUGGAGAUGGAAAGCUGACCUAGCCAAGGAGUUCAGCAAAGAUCCCUGGGAGGAGGUGACAUCUGGACAUCUGCACAGAAUAAUGAGGCUGGGCUAAGGCAGUGACUGAGGGAGGCACUCUUUUUUGGUUUUUCUUUUCUUUUCUUUUGUGUAGGAAGGAAAGAAUAGCCAGGAGAGAUAGAGGAGAAAGAGGAUAAAGAUAGACAGGAAAGAGGUAACACAAGAAGUCAGGACCUGCGCUUGAGGGGCAGAAGUCAAGUCGGGCUAAGGUGAGAAGGCAGAACAGGGUUCAGGGUCUUUGAAGAGAAACAAGUACAGAGCUGGAACUAAGUGAUGCUGACUCCAGACUAAAACCCUCUGGGUUUGAAUCCUGCCUCUGCCACUUACUUAUUCAUUACAAAAUAGCGAGAAAUUACAUUAUCUGGAUCUUGGUCUCUUCAACUAUAAAACAAAAAUAAUAAUAGCUCCUAUCUCAUAGGAUGCUAUUAGGAGUACUAAGUAUAUUAACACCUGUAAAGCACUUGGCUCAAUGUCUGGCACUGCAUAUGCAAUAAAUGUCAUUAUUACUAUUAACAUUAUUAGAAGAAGCAGCAAAUUUAAAAUCAGAAUGUGAGCACUGGAAAGGACUUCAGAAUCAACUAAUCUAAUUCCCCCAUUGUACAAAUGAACAGACUGAGGCCCAGAGAGGUUUGAAAUUGGCCAAAUUUAAGGAGAUAGGAACAGAGCCGAGAUGACAAAAUUGCUUGAAAGUCUGUGCUUUUUCUAGGUGAACUAUACAUAUAUAUUUGGGAAUCAUAAGAAUAUAAGCAGUGAUUGAAUCUGAGGAAAUAGAGUUACUCAGGAAGAACACAAGAAUUAGUACAGAAUGCUGAAAGAAGAAUGAAAAUAGAUUUGAAGUCAACUUGAUUCAAAUAUCCCAAUGUAAUGGUAUUAGGAAGUGGUGCCUUUUUGAGGUAAUUGGGUCAUGAGGGUGGAGUCCUCAUGAGUGGGAUUAGGGCCCUUAUAAGGGGCUGAAGAGACCAGAGUUUUCCCUUCCACCAACUGAAGACUCAUAUAGAAGGUACUAUUUAUGAACCAGAGGGUAGGUCCUCAGCAGACACCAAAUCUGCUGCAACCUUGAUCUUGGACUUCCCAGUCUCCAGAAAUGUGAGAAACAAAUUUCUAUUGUUUAAAAGCCACCCAGUUUAUAGUAUUUUGUUAUAGCAGCCUGAAUGGGCUAAGACACCAUUAAACUUUGAAACUUGGUUUUUCCACAUGUAAAAUCAGGAUACACGUAGAAAACCUGCUGAUGCCUUUAAAAAAUUUUAAACCCAUAUGUUCUAAAGUUGGUAACAGAGGAAGACUUUCCACAAGAUGGAGGAAAGUCUUUUACUCCAGAUCUUAAAAUUAACCUUACUCUUGGGGUAUAAGGUUACUCACACUAAUGUCUGCUGGAGCCACAAUCAGCAAACUGGCUUUAGGGGUACAAAGCAUGGAUUUUACAGUUUCUCUCAUUGCCAUAGUAUGGUUGAGACAGCUUAUAAUAUUUAUGCAAGAUACUACUAAAGAUGGACCCCUCAUGUUGGAGCUGGACAUAGGACUUUUUUCUUCUCUUUCUAGAUUUCUUCCAUAGAUACAUUCAUCUAAUCCCAUAGCUUUAAAAUACCACCUCAAAGCCAAAGACUCAAAUUUAUACCUCUAGCUCUGACCUACUCCUGAGCUCCAGACUUAUAUGUCCAAUUGCUUGCUCUAGAUUAUUACUUAGAUAUCUAAUGGUCAUUCAAAUAUAACAUUUCCAAAAUGGGAUGCUUGACUUCCUGCUCCCAAACCAGUUCUUCCUGCAAUAUUCUCAAUCUUGGUAAACUUAUAUCCAAUUGAUAUAGUUUGGAUAUCUGUACCCACCCAAAUCUCAGGUUGAAUUGUAAUCCC